rnacentral:rRNA from 1 species
UUCCCUACGGGGGACAGCAGUGGGGAAUAUUGGGCAAUGGGCGCAAGCCUGACCCAGCAAUGCCGCGUGAAGGAAGAAGGCCCUCGGGUUGUAAACUUCUUUUAUCAGGGACGAAGGAUGUGACGGUACCUGAUGAAUAAGCUCCGGCUAACUACGUGCCAGCAGCCGCGGUAAUACGUAGGGAGCAAGCGUUAUCCGGAUUUACUGGGUGUAAAGGGCGCGUAGGCGGGAUGGCAAGUCAGAUGUGAAAGCCCGCAGCUCAACUGCGGGACUGCUUUUGAAACUGUAUGACUAGAGUGCAGGAG